AAUCCAAAGCUCCAAAGGGAAGAUUAAAGGCUCUACACUUGUGAGUAUUAUUCUUAUCACUCUUUUAUACUCUAUUUUAUCACAAUUGAGAGCAUUAAUGUUGCCUUUUAUCUUCCCUUUGGAGCUUUGGAU